GGGGGGAGGCUGGAUCCUUGGCCGUGUCCCCAGCGUCCUGUGCUCCCAGCCUGCCCUGUUGGAUUUGCGCUUCUGGCCGCGCAGCCCCUU
rnacentral:pre_miRNA from 1 species